rnacentral:tRNA from 1 species
GGAGUGGACGCUCAUGAGGUAGAGCACCCGGCUGUAACCCGGCGGUCGGCUAGUUCCGUGUUGGUUCGAAUCCAGCCCGCUCCACCA